AUGAUUUUUUUAUUUAUUUCUAAAAAUCGUUGCUUGUUUAUAUAAAUAUUGUAUAACUGAAUAAAUAUUACAAAAUAAUUUUGGUGUAGUGGUUUGUGAGUGAGCCUUCCUCCUUUGAGGGUUAAGGUUUGAGUCCCUUCAAUGCCAUGAAAUCUCUCUUUUUUUAUUAUUUUUUAUUAUUUUUAAAAGGUGAAUAAAGGGCAAAGGAGUUGGUCCCUUGCAAACGGUGGUGGUCGGUGACAGCCGGUUGGCCGGCGGCGGUGGUGAAUAAAGGGCAAUGGAGUUGGUCCCUUGCAAACGGUGGCGGUCGGCGACAGCGGUUGGCCGGAGGUGGUGGCAAGCGACGGCGGUUUGCCGUUGGCCGGCGAUGCUGGUGGCUGGUGGCCGGCGACCGGAGUCCGGCGGUGGUGGUUGGCUGGAUAUGGACAUGUGGCAUAGUAUGCUUGCCUUAGAAGGAGUGGCAUUGUUUGUAAUUUUGAUAUUUUUUAAUGAUAUUUUUGUAAAAUUAGGUACUAUAGUUUGGUCUUUGGCCUUAUGCUAAUUAGAUGAAAUUGCAUUCCUAUCUUCCAAAUUAGUAAACUAUAUUGUGUUUUAAAACUAAAGCUUCCCCCCAUCACUCUUCAUGUUUGAUGAUGGUAACUUACAUAUCAAUUUAACUGUCAA